rnacentral:rRNA from 1 species
AGCAGCCGCGGUAAUUCCAGCUCCAAUAGCGUAUAUUAAAGUUGCUGCAGUUAAAAAGCUCGUAGUUGAAUUUCGGGAUCAAUAUGUUGGUCGUGCCUCGGUACGUACUAGCUUAUUGGUUUCUCCCUUCUGACGAACCAUGAUGUCAUUUAUUUGGUGUUAUGGGAAAUCAGGACUGUUACUUUGAAAAAAUUAGAGUGUUUAAAGCAGGCUCACGCUUGAAUACAUUAGCAUGGAAUAAUGAAAUAGGACGUUUGAUUCUAUUUUGUUGGUUUCUAGGAUCGACGUAAUGAUUAAUAGGGAUAGUUGGGGGCAUUAGUAUUCAAUUGUCAGAGGUGAAAUUCUUGGAUUUAUUGAAGACUAACUACUGCGAAAGCAUUUGCCAAGGAUGUUUUCAUUAAUCAAGAACGAAAGUUAGGGGAUCGAAGACGAUCAGAUACCGUCGUAGUCUUAACCAUAAACUAUGCCGACUAGGGAUCGGAUGAUGUUAAUUUUUAAUGACUCAUUCG